UACGGAAGGCAGCAGUGGGGAAUAUUGCACAAUGGGCGCAAGCCUGAUGCAGCCAUGCCGCGUGUAUGAAGAAGGCCUUCGGGUUGUAAAGUACUUUCAGUCGUGAGGAAGGUGUUAAGGUUAAUAACCUUAGCAAUUGACGUUAGCGACAGAAGAAGCACCGGCUAACUCCGUGCCAGCAGCCGCGGUAAUACGGAGGGUGCGAGCGUUAAUCGGAAUUACUGGGCGUAAAGGGCACGCAAGCGGUUAUUAAGUUGGAUGUGAAAUCCCCGGGCUUAACCUGGGAAUGGCAUUCAAGACUGGUUAGCUAGAGUCUUGUAGAGGGGGUAGAAUUCCAUGUGUAGCGGUGAAAUGCGUAGAGAUGUGGAGGAAUACCGGUGGCGAAGGCGGCCCCUGGACAAAGGACUGACGCUCAUGUGCGAAAGCGUGGGGAGCGAAACAGGGAUUAGAUACC
rnacentral:rRNA from 1 species